CAGCAGCCACGGGAAAACCGAGGGUGCAAGCGUUAAUCGGAAUUACUGGGCGUAAAGCGCGCGUAGGUGGUUUGUUAAGUUGGAUGUGAAAGCCCCGGGCUCAACCUGGGAACUGCAUCCAAAACUGGCAAGCUAGAGUACGGUAGAGGGUGGUGGAAUUUCCUGUGUAGCGGUGAAAUGCGUAGAUAUAGGAAGGAACACCAGUGGCGAAGGCGACCACCUGGACUGAUACUGACACUGAGGUGCGAAAGCGUGGGGAGCAAACAGGAUUAGAUACCCCCGUAGUCCCUGUCUCUUAUAC
rnacentral:rRNA from 1 species